rnacentral:rRNA from 1 species
CCGCAGGCGGUCUUGUGUGUCAGACGUGAAAGCCCACGGCUCAACCCGUGGAAUUGCAUUUGAAACUGCAAGACUAGAGUACUGGAGGGGAGAAGGGAACACUUGGUGUAGCGGUGAAAUGCGUAGAUAUCAAGUGGAACACCGGCGGGCGAAGGCGCUUCUCUGGACAGAUACUGACGCUCAUGGACGAAAGUUAGGGUAGCGAAAGGGAUUAGAAACCCCGGUAUUCCUAGCCGUAAACGAUGUCUACUAGGUUGUGGAAGUUCUGACACUUGCACGGCCGAAGCAAAAGUGCUAAGUAGACCGCCUGGGGAGUACGGCCGCAAGGCUAAAACUCAAAGGAAUUGACGGGGGCUCACACAAGCGGUGGAGCAUGUGGAUUAAUUCGAAGCAACGCGCAGAACCUUACCUGGGUUUGACAUGCUUGUAUGGUUGCCUGGAAACAGGUUAAUCUGCCCUUCGGGGUGAAACUUGCACAGGUGCUGCAUGGCUGUCGUCAGCUCGUGUCAUGAGAUGUUGGGUUAAGUCCUUUAACGAGCGAAACCCUUACCGUUAGUUGCCAGCGGGUCAUGCCGGGGACUCUAACGGGACUGCCGGUGUUAAGCCGGAGGAAGGUGGGGACGACGUCAAGUCAUCAUGGCCUUUAUGCCCAGGGCUUCACACGUGCUACAAUGGUGGCAACGGAGCGACGCGAUACCGUGAGGUGGAGCAAAUCGCAAAAAUGUCGCCCCAGUUCGGAUUGUAGGCUGGCAACUCGCCUACAUGAAGUCGGAAUCGCUAGUAAUCGCGUAUCAGCAAUGACGCGGUGAAUGUGUUCCUGAGCCUUGUACACACCGCCCGUCAAGUGAUGGGAGUUGGGAGUACCCGAAGUCAGUUUGCUAACCCAGCUUGCUGGGGUGCGGCUGCCGACGGUAAGCCUGAUGACUGGCACU